UGGGCAACCUGCCCCUAGCUCUGGGAUAACUGCGGGAAACUGUAGCUAAUACCGGAUGUGACACGAGACUGCAUGGUCUUCGUGUGGAAAGAUUUAUCGGCUAGGGAUGGGCCCGCGGUCUAUCAGCUUGUUGGUGGGGUAAUGGCUCACCAAGGCGACGACGGAUAACCGGCCUGAGAGGGCGACCGGUCACACUGGGACUGAGACACGGCCCAGACUCCGUACGGGAGGNA
rnacentral:rRNA from 1 species